rnacentral:rRNA from 1 species
GUGGGGAAUAUUGGACAAUGGGCGAAAGCCUGAUCCAGCCAUGCCGCGUGUGUGAAGAAGGUCUUCGGAUUGUAAAGCACUUUAAGUUGGGAGGAAGGGUAGUAACCUAAUACGUUGCUACUUUGACGUUACCGACAGACUAAGCACUGGCUAACUUCGUGCCAGCAGCCGCGGUAAUACGAAGGGUGCAAGCGUUAAUCGGAAUUACUGGGCGUAAAGCGCGCGUAGGUGGUUCAGUAAGUUGGAAGUGCAAUCCCCGGGCUCAACCUGGGAACUGCUUUCAAAACUGAUGAGCUAGAGUACGGUAGAGGGUGGUGGAAUUUCCUGUGUAGCGGUGAAAUGCGUAGAUAUAGGAAGGAACACCAGUGGCGAAGGCGACCACCUGGACUGAUACUGACACUGAGGUGCGAAAGCGUGGGGAGCAAACAGGAUUAGAAACCCGUGUAGUCC